GGGCGCAAGCCUGAUCCAGCCAUGCCGCGUGUGUGAAGAAGGUCUUCGGAUUGUAAAGCACUUUAAGUUGGGAGGAAGGGUAUUCACCUAAUACGUGAGUAUUUUGACGUUACCGACAGAAUAAGCACCGGCUAACUUCGUGCCAGCAGCCGCGGUAAUA
rnacentral:rRNA from 1 species